CCGGCAAUAGCUCAGUUGGUAGAGCGGGAGACUGUAGUGUUAACCUGUAAUCUCUAGGUCGCUAGUUCAAAUCUGGCUUGCCGGA